rnacentral:rRNA from 1 species
CCUACGGGUGACAGCAGUGAGGAAUAUUGGUCAAUGGGCGGAAGCCUGAACCAGCCAAGUAGCGUGCAGGAUGACGGCCCUACGGGUUGUAAACUGCUUUUAUACGGGAAUAACGCGCCUUACGUGUAGGCCUUUGCAUGUACCGUUUGAAUAAGGACCGGCGAAUUCCGUGCCAGCAGCCGCGGUAAUACGGAAGGUCCGGGCGUUAUCCGGAUUUAUUGGGUUUAAAGGGAGCGUAGGCCGCAUGUCAAGCGUGCUGUGAAAUGUCCGGGCUCAACCCGGGCCGUGCAGCGCAAACUGGCGUGCUUGAGUGCGCGGAAAGCAGGCGGAAUUCGUGGUGUAGCGGUGAAAUGCUUAGAUAUGACGAAGAACCCCGAUUGCGAAGGCAGCUUGCUGCAGCGGAACUGACGCUGAUGCUCGAAAGCGCGGGUAUCGAACAGGAUUAGAUACCCGAGUAGUC